GCUUUCUGUAGCUCAGCUGGUAUAGCAUGAGACUCUUGAUCUUAGGGUCAUGGGUUUGAGCCCCGCAGGGGGCA